rnacentral:sRNA from 1 species
GAGUAGCAUAGCGCUGUCCCUUUCCGUCCUUCUCUUCUCCUUCUUCUCUUCUGGCAAGGUGUCCACGGCGGUGGCCAAGGGCAAGGAUAGCAGCGGCGGGUGGGACGAGGAGUCCUCCACGUGGUGGUGGUGGCCAAGGACAUUGGCGGUGGCCAAGGGUGGUGGCGGCAACAGUGGUGGUGGUGGAGGUGGCCCUCUCUCUGCAUUCGUCUUCCCCCUUCUCCUCCUCCAGAUCUGCCAGCCGACAGCAGUGGCGAUGGUGGUGGAGGUGGCCCUUCUUCUGCAUCCGCCUCCCCCCUUCUCCUCCAAAUCCAGUGACGGUGGUGGAGAAAGCUGGCGCAGAGAGUGAGGUGGCAGCCGGAAGCCUAAAAGGAGGUGGUGGUGGAGGCCGUCACACUCCUCCCCCCCUCGCCAAGCACUUCGUUGUUGGCUCCAUUGGGCCUUUUUUUUAUUAUCUCAUUGAAUACUAUACAUGUUGGUUGUGGGGUAAGAACUAAUACCUAUAAUUUCUGUAUGUACUGGUUUCAGAACUCCUAGGUAUAGAUGCCAAUAAAUUAGUGUCGGCUUGAAAACUGACACUUACUGGCUUUUAACC